CGCUGUGAAAGCUUUAUUCUUUUGCUCUUUGCAAUAAAUCUUGCUACUGCUCAGUCUUUGGGUCCACGCUGCUUUUAUGAGCUGUAACACUCACUGGAAAGUCUGCAGCUUCAUUCCUGAAGCCAGCAAGACCGCGAGCCCCCCGGGGGAGGAAUGAACAACUCCAGAGACGCCACUUUAAGAGCUGUAACACUCACCGUGAAGGUCUGCAGCUUCACUCCUGAGCCAGCGAGACCACGAACCCACCAGAAGGAAGAAACUCCGAACACAUCCGAACGUCAGAAGGAACAAACUCCAGACGCGCCCCCUUAAGAGCUGUAACACUCACCGCGAGGGUCUGCGGCGUCAGUCUUGAAGUCAGUGAGACCAAGAACCCACCAAUUCGGGACACAUAGUGUGAAUGUUCUUUACCGAGAUGUUCAGGCUCUGAAGGACAUCAGAGAUGCUGAUGGUUCCUGGGGAUGGGACGACUCUUCUUGCCAAGGACCCUCCUGAGUCCUCAGAGAGGGCUGAUCAAGGCUGACUCCAGCUGUUCCCAAGCAUCCAGGAUGGCAGCUCUUCUCCAGGCUGUGAUAGGGGCUUUGCUCUAUCUUGGAGUGGGGGCAAGGUCUGGUUGGGUUCUGCCUGAGAGAGACCCUCAUAAAUAAUGAAGCUCC
rnacentral:lncRNA from 1 species